rnacentral:rRNA from 1 species
GAUGAACGCUGGCGGCGUGCUUAACACAUGCAAGUCGAACGGGAAACCUAUUAUUGAAACUUCGGUCGAUUUAAUUUGUUUCUAGUGGCGGACGGGUGAGUAACGCGUGGGUAACCUGCCCUAUACAGGGGGAUAACAACCAGAAAUGGUUGCUAAUACCGCAUAAGCGCACGGGACCGCAUGGUCCAGUGUGAAAAACUCCGGUGGUAUAGGAUGGACCCGCGUUGGAUUAGCUGGUUGGUGGGGUAACGGCCCACCAAGGCGACGAUCCAUAGCCGGCCUGAGAGGGUGAACGGCCACAUUGGGACUGAGACACGGCCCAGACUCCUACGGGAGGCAGCAGUGGGGAAUAUUGCACAAUGGGGGAAACCCUGAUGCAGCGACGCCGCGUGAAGGAAGAAGUAUCUCGGUAUGUAAACUUCUAUCAGCAGGGAAGAUAGUGACGGUACCUGACUAAGAAGCCCCGGCUAACUACGUGCCAGCCGCCGCUGUAA